rnacentral:tRNA from 1 species
GGGCGCUUAGCUCAGCUGGCUAGAGCACUAGCUCGACACGCUAGGGGUCACAGGUUCAAAUCCUGUAGCGCCCA